rnacentral:rRNA from 1 species
AACGCGAAGAACCUUACCUACCCUUGACAUGGGGAACCGCUGAGAGGUGGGAGUGCGAAAGAGAACCGGCGCACAGGUGCUGCAUGGCUGGAGCGUGGUGAGAUGUUGGGUUAAGCCGCAACGAGCGCAACCCUUGCCUAGUUACCAGCGGGAUGCCGGGCACUAGGGAGACUGCCGGUGAAACCGGAGGAAGGUGGGGAUGACGAAGCCAAUGGCCCUUACGCAGGGCGACACACGUGCUACAAUGGCCGGUACAGAGCGGCCAACCCGCGAGGGUGAGCCAAGCCAAAAGCCGGUAAGUGGAUUGUAGUGCAACGACUGCAUGAAGGGAAGCUAGUAAGCAGAAGCAUUGCUGCGGUGAAUACGUCCGGGUUGUACAC